rnacentral:rRNA from 1 species
AUUGAACGCUGGCGGCAGGCCUAACACAUGCAAGUCGAGCGGAUGAAGGGAGCUUGCUCCUGGAUUCAGCGGCGGACGGGUGAGUAAUGCCUAGGAAUCUGCCUGGUAGUGGGGGAUAACGUCCGGAAACGGGCGCUAAUACCGCAUACGUCCUGAGGGAGAAAGAGGGGGAUCUUCGGACCUCACGCUAUCAGAUGAGCCUAGGUCGGAUUAGCUAGUUGGUGGGGUAAAGGCCUACCAAGGCGACGAUCCGUAACUGGUCUGAGAGGAUGAUCAGUCACACUGGAACUGAGACGCGGUCCAGACUCCUACGGUAGGCAGCAGUGUGGAAUAUUGGACAAUGGGCGAAAGCCUGAUCCAGCCAUGCCGCGUGUGUGAAGAAGGUCUUCGGAUUGUAAAGCACUUUAAGUUGGGAGGAAGGGCAGUAAGUUAAUACCUUGCUGUUUUGACGUUACCAACAGAAUAAGCACCGGCUAACUUCGUG